AUUGAACGCUGGCGGCAUGCCUUACACAUGCAAGUCGAACGGUAACAGGUCUUCGGAUGCUGACGAGUGGCGAACGGGUGAGUAAUACAUCGGAACGUGCCCGAUCGUGGGGGAUAACGAAGCGAAAGCUUUGCUAAUACCGCAUAAGAUCUACGGAUGAAAGCAGGGGACCGCAAGGCCUUGCGCGAACGGAGCGGCCGAUGGCAGAUUAGGGAGUUGGUGGGAUAAAAGCUUACCAAGCCGACGAUCUGUAGCUGGUCUGCGAGGACGACCAGCCACACUGGGACUGAGACACGGCCCAGACUCCUACGGGAGGCAACAGUGGGGAAUUUUGGACAAUGGGCGAAAGCCUGAUCCAGCCAUGCCGCGUGCAGGAUGAAGGCCUUCGGGUUGUAAACUGCUUUUGUACGGAACGAAAAGACUCUUUCUAAUAAAGAGGGUCCAUGACGGUACCGUAAGAAUAAGCACCGGCUAACUACGUGCCAGCAGCCGCCGUAG
rnacentral:rRNA from 1 species